rnacentral:rRNA from 1 species
CCUACGGUGGGCAGCAGUGGGGAAUAUUCGGCAAUGGGCGCAAGCCUGACCCAGCAACGCCGCGUGAGGGAAGAAGGCUUUCGGGUUGUAAACUUCUUUUCUCAGGGACGAAGCAAGUGACGGUACCUAAGGAAUAAGCCACGGCUAACUACGUGCCAGCAGCCGCGGUAAUAAGUAGGUGGCAAGCGUUAUCCGGAUUUACUGGGUGUAAAGGGCGUGUAGGCGGGACUGCAAGUCAGAUGUUAAAGCCAUGGGCUCAACCUAUGGCCUGCAUUUGAAACGGUAGUUAUGGAGUGCUGGGGAGGCAGACGGAAUUCCUGGGGUAGCGGUGAAAUGCGAGAUAUUAGGAGGAACACCAGUGGCGAAGGCGGUCUGCUGGCUAGCAACUGACGCUGAGGCGCGAAAGCGUGGGGAGCAAACAGGAUUAGAUACCCUUGUAGUC